rnacentral:rRNA from 1 species
AUUGAACGCUGGCGGCAGGCCUAACACAUGCAAGUCGAGCGAGCGGCGGACGGGUGAGUAAUGUAUGGGGACUGCCUGAUAGAGGGGGAUAACUACUGGAAACGGUGGCUAAUACCGCAUACUAUCCGAUAACCCAUAUGGGAUUAGCUAGUAGGUGGGGUAAAGGCUCACCUAGGCGACGCUCCAUAGCUGGUCUGAGAGGAUGAUCAGCCACACUGGGACUGAGACACGGCCCAGACUCCUACGGAGGCAGCAGUGGGGAAUAUUGCACAAUGGGCGCAAGCCGGAUGCAGCCAUGCCGCGUGUAUGAAGAAGGCCUUAGGGUUGUAAAGUACUUUCGGCGGGGAGGCGGUACCGACAGAAGAAGCACCGGCUAACUCCGUGCCAGCAGCCGCGGUAAUUC